AUACUCACACGAGCUUUCACUCCAGCUACAAAGCAGCUUGGCUAUGCUCAGUUAAUGCAGCCACAGCUGGAAGACUGGGGAACUUCAAAACUUCUGCUUUAAUCAGAGCCCAUACAAGAAGUCAGCCGAUGAGAAACAUCCAACCAGCUGCUCACCUGAUCCUGCUGUGGUGGUCAUGUUCCUCGCCUAACCUGUUAGGAACAAAGCUGUAAGGAGAGCAGAAGGUGUCAAAGUAAAACAGCUGCAUAUCUUCCAAGAAAAGCUUGUGUUUUCUGAAGGAAUUCAAGCAGAGGUGCUUUAUUAAGAGAACUAGGCAGGACAAACAUUAACAUGGCAAGCUCGGCUG
rnacentral:lncRNA from 1 species